UGCGGGGUGACGCAGUGGCAGCGUGAGGGUUUCAUAUGCCCUAAGCCGGUGGUUCGAAUCCACCCCCCGCAA
rnacentral:tRNA from 1 species